CGUUGCAGCGUGUUUUUGCAGAUGUAAAUGCCAUGAUCUUAAAAAAAAAGAUCCUUAUGCGCAACAUAUAGCUUUCAACUAGAGCUUUCUUCAGCACCAAGCAAAACUUUUUUGGACAUUUGGUAGCUGGCCUAUAGUUUUUUCCGAAGCAUGUUUUUGGAUUUUUUCUUAGACUUUGAAUACACGGUAAUUUUAAAUUAUUCAGAUACUGAUUUGUUUUGGUUCAGGAGCCGCACCAUGUAUGAAGGUAAAAACAACUGAGUUGGAAUCCUUCAAAAUUUUGAGUUGUUUUCAUCUAGCAAGCUCCAAACCCUGGGACUUAGCAAAGACGCACAUUUUUUCGAGCAAAAUAUAUAAAAACAACUCAGAGAGAUCCAAAACACAAAAUGAUUGUUUGGAUGCGACGGUCUCAGCGCACUCAGUGCGGGCAGUUGUCGGAAAAAUAAUGGUUAGUUUCCAAUGGAUGCGGCGCAGCUUUUCGUCACUGGAAUCGUUGGAAAUUUUGGUUGAACAGCAGAUGCCUGAGAAUGUGUUUAAAAGAAAAUGCUACUGGUCGUCACAACGAUGAAAAACAGACAAAGGAUGCCGCAGGGGAAACUUUGUUUUCAUCAGCAUCAAUUAUCGUUCGUCGAACCAGAACAUUUCGAUGGUGGCAAUGAUGGGGACGAUGGCAGCGGCAACUUCACUCCCAGGGCAGGCAGUCGAGUUGGAGGAAGCCGAAGUCUUCCAAACUCAAAAUCCGCAAACAUUUGCCACGAAAACAGAAUAGACCGUAUUGCCUACGACGGAAGUGGCGGCGACAGAAGUUUGCGUGACCGAAGAGAAGGCGGGCGAUCUAAUCGGUAACCAAGGGAAGAACAGCCAGGAUCGGUACUAUCAGAAAAUUAAGCAUCAACAGCAGAAAAUAAUUGAUGCCACUCACGAACUUCGGUGAAAAAUACCAGAAUAAACAUAU